AUAUUUAGAAUUUUUAAAAGUAUGACGAGAUAUGGAUUCAAAUGUAAGUAAUCAAAGUGAUUGUUAAGGAUGCCUAGCAAACAUUUAUUAAAGGAGGUGGAAACACCUAAAGCUAUAUUUGUGAAUCUAAAAUAUAGCGAUCCUAAAGGAAACUAUACUUUAAAAACGCAGUGAACUGAAACAUCUAAGUAACUGUUGGAAAGGAAAUCAACCGAGACUCCAUAAGUAGUGGUGAGCGAAAGUGGACUAGCCUAAUAGUUAAUAUUAUCAUAGAAUCAUUUGGAAAAAUGAUCCCGUAGAAGGUCAAAGUCCUGUAUAUUUUAAUAUAGACUACUAAUCAAGUAGAGUGGAAGAUAAUCUGCUCCAAAAAUAUGGGGAACCAUCCUCAAAGGCUAAGUAUAAAUGUUUAGCGAUAGUGAAGAGUAACGUGAGUGAAAGGUGCAAGAGAAAGUCGAUGACUGGUGAAAUAGAGUCUGAAUUAGCAAUCAUAUAAGCAAUUAAAGCAACUGAACCUUACAAUGACUUUAAGAGUAAGAAUGAAGUGUAAUAAUGUACCUUUUGUAUAAUGGGUUAGCGAGUUGAUGGCAGUAGCAAGGUUAAUAGCCCUAGCGAAAGCGACUCACAUCUAACAAAUGUGCGGAAUAGUUACUGUCUUCAGACCCGAAACGCGGUGAUCUAUCCAUGACCAGAUUAAUAAUAAGAUCGAAUGGUUCAAUGUUGCAGUAUUGUCCAAUGAGUUGUGGAUUGUCGGCGAAAGGCCAAUCUGACCGCGAUAUAGCUGGUUCUCCUCGAAACAUAUUUAGGUAUGACUUUCUGAUUUAGAUUUAUGCGGGUACAGCACUGAUUACCAUACUAAGCUUUCAUUUUGAAAGUAAGGUUUAAUUGGGGGGUUGUCGAAACUUUAUCAUUGGUUAAUUAACCUCGGAAACAACAUAAAUUGAUGCAGAAAUUUCAGACUGCUCAUGAUAAGGUGGGUAGUCGAGACGGAAACAGCCGUGAACAUAGAAUAAGGUCCCAAAGUAAUGAUUAAGUGAAAAUAAGGAAGUUGUGGUUCGAAUACAACUAUAAAGUUAGCUUGGAAGUUGCUAUCUUUUAAUGAAAGUGUAACAACUUAGUAGUCUAAUGAAACACAGCGCCGAAGAUUAACGGGUCUAGAUCAUUCACCGAAACUAUGUCUAUAUGUUCUAUACAAUAUGGAAUAUAUUUGGGUAGAGGAGCAUUCAGUAUGGUAGAAGAAUAGUGUUUCAUUAUUUGGACAUUACUGAAGAGAUUAUGCUAACAUGAGUAACGUAGAAAGAAGUUAUAAUACUUCUCGCCGAAUGCGAAAGGGUUUCAAAGUAAUGUUAAACAGCUUUGAUUGAAGACGGUCUCUAAGGUUAAAGCAAAUGUAGAGCUGAUGAGUAGAUGGUAGAAAGUUCAUCCAAGAAAAGAAUACUAGGGUUAUCACAAGAGUAAUCGUUUUAGUUUUAGUAAACACUAAAAUAGUAAUCGUUUUAGUAAAAACUAAAAGUGAUAAUUUCCGCACAACCGUACCCUAAACUGACACAAGUUCGUAGGUAGAGAAUACUAAGGCGUAGAGAUAAUACUGUAUAAGGAACUCGGCAAAAUGCGUCCGUAAGCUAGACAAUAAGGACGACCACAAAGGUGUCACAGAAUCGUGAAGCACAACUGUUUACCAAAAACACAGGUAUCUGCUAUGUUUAAUAACAUUGUAUAGGUGCUGAAUCUUGUCCGAUGUCUAGAGUAUAAUAUAGGUGAAGAACCAAAGUAAUUUAAACGUCAUGUGGUGUGGGUGCCCAUGGGCAUGGCAUCUUAUAUGAGUAUCUUUAAGGUAUAACUGAGAGGUAUUAGUAAAGUUAAUCUGAUAUGGGUAGGUGAAUUGUAUAAGAAAGAAAUCUAGUAGUCAUUUAUAAAAGCUCCGAUCAAUGACAGACUUAACUAUAAGGUUUUUAACAGUAGCGAAAUUCCUUGGCCGUUAAAUGCGGUCCUGCAUGAAUAGAGUAAUGAUGCUUCAGCUGUCUCAUACAGUAUCUCAGUGAAAUUGAAUUAGCCGUGAAGAUGCGGUUUAAAUGUGGGUAGACGGGAAGACCCUAUGCAGCUUUACUAUAAUUAGUUAGUAUUUUCAUCUGAAACAAUUAUAGCGUAGAGGGUAGCCGUAAGGCAUUAAUGAAACACCCUUAUUAAUUUCAGGUGAAAAUUAAUCCUACAGGAAAAGUGGGGUUUGAAAGUUUUAGAAGGACAAUUAAAAACUGUAGGUAUACGACGAGUAUGGCGCCAGUGGAACUGUGGAAAAACUGACUAGCUGGUAGUUUAACUGGGACGGUUUCCUCCAAUAGAGUAUCGGAGGACUUCAAAGGUAUGUUUAUAUUAGAUGGACACUAAUUCGUUAUGUAGAACGUGUAGAAAUGUAAAGGUAAAACAUGCUUAACUGUGAGACUGAUAAGUCGAACAGAUACGUAAGUAGGACUUAGUGAUCCGGUGAUCCUUUAUGGAAAGGUCAUCGCUCAAGAAAUAAAAGUUACGCUAGGGAUAACAGGGUAAUAGCUCUCGAGAGUUCAUAUUGUCAGAGCUGUUUGCCACCUCGAUGUCGACUCACCUUAUCCUCCUGGUGCACAAUCUGGGAAGGGUUCUGCUGUUCGCAGAUUAAAAAGGUACGCGAGUUGGGUUCAAUACGAUGUGAGUCAGUAUGGUUCCUAUCUUCCACAUUAAAGAAUAGUCUAAUUUAGAUGGGUCCUUAGUACGAAAGGACCGGGAUCUGCGUUUCUCUGGUGUACCAAUUGUUGAUAUAAUUUCUCUAUCGGCACCGUUGGGUAGCUACAAACGUCAAGGAUAAAAGCUGAAAGCAUAUAAGCUCUUGAAGCCUACUAAAGGCGACUAUAUAUGUGCUAUUUUAGCACAUAGUAAGAGGUAGACUACCUCUUUGAUAGGUCACAUGUAUAAGCAACGAAAAGUGCCAAUAGCUUAGUGAUACUAAUUUUCU
rnacentral:rRNA from 1 species